CACAUGCAAGUCGAGGGGCAGCAUGGUCUUAGCUUGCUAAGGCCGAUGGCGACCGGCGCACGGGUGAGUAACACGUAUCCAACCUGCCGUCUACUCUUGGACAGCCUUCUGAAAGGAAGAUUAAUACAAGAUGGCAUCAUGAGUCCGCAUGUUCACAUGAUUAAAGGUAUUCCGGUAGACGAUGGGGAUGCGUUCCAUUAGAUAGUAGGCGGGGUAACGGCCCACCUAGUCUUCGAUGGAUAGGGGUUCUGAGAGGAAGGCCCCCCACAUUGGAACUGAGACACGGUCCAAACUCCUACGGGAGGCAGCAGUGAGGAAUAUUGGUCAAUGGGCGCAGGCCUGAACCAGCCAAGUAGCGUGAAGGAUGACUGCCCUAUGGGUUGUAAACUUCUUUUAUAAAGGAAUAAAGUCGGGUAUGUAUACCCGUUUGCAUGUACUUUAUGAAUAAGGAUCGGCUAACUCCGUGCCAGCAGCCGCGGUAAUACGGAGGAUCCGAGCGUUAUCCGGAUUUAUUGGGUUUAAAGGGAGCGUAGAUGGAUGUUUAAGUCAGUUGUGAAAGUUUGCGGCUCAACCGUAAAAUUGCAGUUGAUACUGGAUAUCUUGAGUGCAGUUGAGGCAGGCGGAAUUCGUGGUGUAGCGGUGAAAUGCUUAGAUAUCACGAAGAACUCCGAUUGCGAAGGCAGCCUGCUAAGCUGCAACUGACAUUGAGGCUCGAAAGUGUGGGUAUCAAACAGGAUUAGAUACCCUGGUAGUCCACACGGUAAACGAUGAAUACUCGCUGUUUGCGAUAUACGGCAAGCGGCCAAGCGAAAGCGUUAAGUAUUCCACCUGGGGAGUACGCCGGCAACGGUGAAACUCAAAGGAAUUGACGGGGGCCCGCACAAGCGGAGGAACAUGU
rnacentral:rRNA from 1 species